UGCUUCACGCAGUGGCAGUAUCGUAGCUAAUGAGGUAUAUCUGAGGCGCCAUUAUUGCUCAUUAAAAAGCUCACCAGUGGGUGACAGCAACUAAAGUUGUGUUUACCGUUUUACUCAGUUGAGAGCUAUUUUGUGAUAUUUGCUUUAUCCA
ensembl:snRNA U4 U4 spliceosomal RNA